UGCACUUUUCUAUCUGCUUUCCUCCCUCAGUGGGACAUCGUCUACAGUGCCAGAUAUUAUUAUCUUUUUGUCCGUGCCUAUGUCGUAGAAUUCAGGUAAGGUUUUAACUUAUUUUUCGCUUUAUUGUAGGUGCUGUUCUCCAGUAUCAUGAGUGUUGUAUUCCAAAGAACCCCAUUUCAUGGAGCAAUUGCACACAUCAUUAAUGACUGUCAAUAUGAUGUCCUUGAAAUGUUCUGCUGUUUUUUGCAGACAAUAUGUCACAACAACAACAACAACAAAGACUCUUACUGAAGUAGAAGUGGUGGUUGAGUUCAAUGACCAUGCUGCACCUGGAGAAACCCCACAGGCUAGUGAUGUGGCAAAAACAUUAGGAAAUGCUGUGUCCAAUCCCAACAACACCUUCAAUCUCACUGUUGAUUCCACUACCAUCCAAGCAGUUGGUAAGUAAGCUGUUGCCCUGAAUCCUAAACCAUGGGUAAAUACUUUUUCUGUUCUCAGCGCCAUCUAAAAAGAUGGUUGGCUCAACAAAGAGCAUGCAGAAGCAGAAUAAUCAAAAAGGCCAAAAUGAGCAAGACUUAAUGCCAGCGUUGUCCAAUCCUCACGUUCGACAGCUACUGUCUUUCUGGUUUUCUAACUAUCGGCUGAUUACCUUGAUCAGAUGGGUUAGUCAGUUGCUGCUUUACUGAACAAACCUGGUCUAGGUAUUCAGUAUCAGCUGGGAAAGGGAGAGUUGUGAAACCAGCAGGACAGUAGCUCUCGAGGACCAGGAUUGGGCAACCCUGCUUUAAGCAACUGCACACGAAUGCUACUGACUAGUACAUUUCAUUGUUUCUGUCAAUCUACAUGCUGUCAUACUUGUGCUUUUGCAGUAUUGAAUGAAACAAAUCCAACAGCUGUGGUCCCCAACCUGACUACUACGGAAGCCACUCAACAAACACCCAUCAGUGCUACACCAGCUCCAACAACAGAGACUGCAGCAGCUACUUCGACUGCUUCAGGAACCACAACAUUUGUUCUUGUCUCAGCUGUCUUGAAUACACCAUAUGAACCACAACUCAAUGACAGCAGCACUGUUGAGUUCAAGACUCUUGAAACAGAAGUUGUACAAAUUUGGGACAUCGUCUACAGUGCCAGAUAUUAUUAUCUUUUUGUCCGUGCCUAUGUCGUAGAAUUCAGGUAAGAUUUUAACUUGCUUUAUUGUAGGUGCUAUUCUCCAGUAUCAUGAGUGUUGUAUUCCAAAGAACCCCAUUUCAUGGAGCAAUUGCACACAUCAUUAAUGACUGUCAAUAUGAUGUCCUUGAAAUGUUCUGCUGUUUUUUGCAGACAAUAUGUCACAACAACAACAACAACAGAGAUUCUUACUGAAGUAGAGGUGGUGGUUGAGUUCAAUGACCAUGCUGCACCUGGAGAAACCCCACAGGCUAGUGAUGUGGUAAAAACAUUAGCAAAUGCUGUGUCCAAUCUCAACAACACCUUCAAUCUCACUGUUGAUUCCACUACCAUCCAAGCAGUUGGUAAGUAAGCUGUUGCCCUAAAUCCUAAACCAUGGGUAAAUACUUUUUCUGUUCUCAGCGCCAUCGAAAAAGAUGGAUGGCUCAAGAAAGAGCAUGCAGAAGCAGAAUAAUCAAAAAGGCCAAAAUGAGAAAGACUUCAUGCCAGCGUUGUCCAA
rnacentral:lncRNA from 1 species